GACCUUCCCUGCGCGCGUCCUGUGCUUGUUAUUCAACAGGACCACACGGGUAUGAUUUCCCCUGUCGUGCACCGGAGAUUUCCAGGUGACUUGCGCUGGGACUCGCCGCCGGUGGGGGGCAGCCCCUCACCUGAAUGUCGCCCUGAGCCCUGCCCCGGGCCGGCUUCCUCGCCCAGGCCGCCUCUGGUCUCCGCGCAGUUACGAGGGCGGAGAGCCGAGAAAGACAUCACGGAAUUACGAAUACAAAAGGAGGCGGGAAAGUGAACAUGCAUUUAGAAAGGAGGAAUACGAUAAACGUCACUGAAUCCAGGAAAAUAUAAUACGAGAAUGGAUAAUUCAGCAUCAUCACUGAGCCGUAUUUAUGUGCUUGUGCGGUUACCACAAUGUGUGAUAAAAAUACUGUUGCUGUGCAACACGAGGAGCUUACUAAUGAAGACCUGAAGGAAUUGGAGGCCCAGAGAAAGGAUAAAUAUAGACAAGAGGAAGAAGAAGUAACUGAAGAACAAAAGAGAUUCACGAUGCAGGAAAUAGCAAGGGGAUUUUCUUUAUUUGAGGAGGCACCGUUAGUUUUUGAGGCACAGGACCUGAACGUAGAACAGUACACGAAGGUUGUAGCAGCCGUUCAGAAUGUAAUCCAGUGCUACCGUGUCAUCUAUGACGAGAAAAAAGAGCUACUACCCAGACGUCACUGGAUCAUUUUUUCAAGAGGGUAGAUAGAAUUGAAUCCAGCAAGGAACCAGACGUGUGCUAUCAAGGUCAGGUGUGAGUGAUAUUGCAGCUUGCUCUCCGUCUCCUAUUGCUGAUGACCCUUCAGCUCUACCAUCUCCCACCUCCUCUCCCUCCUCCAGUCAGUAACUCUUCUUGCCUGUUCACUCGAUGCCAGCCCCUGGAUGC